rnacentral:rRNA from 1 species
GUAGUCCACGCCGUAAACGAUGAAUGCUAGGUGUUAGGGGUUUCGAUACCCUUGGUGCCGAAGUUAACACAUUAAGCAUUCCGCCUGGGGAGUACGGUCGCAAGACUGAAACUCAAAGGAAUUGACGGGGACCCGCACAAGCAGUGGAGUAUGUGGUUUAAUUCGAAGCAACGCGAAGAACCUUACCAAGUCUUGACAUCCCUUUGACCGGACUAGAGAUAGUCUUUUCCUUCGGGACAAAGGAGACAGGUGGUGCAUGGUUGUCGUCAGCUCGUGUCGUGAGAUGUUGGGUUAAGUCCCGCAACGAGCGCAACCCUUAUGCUUAGUUGCCAGCACAUCAUGGUGGGCACUCUAAGCAGACUGCCGGUGACAAACCGGA